GCCACGGAGUGCAAGUGUUUUUCAGUGUUAAAAACACCACCAACAUAAAUUAGGGGAAAGCUUCCCUUCCUGGACGUAACAAAAUGUUAGGCCGUCUCUGUGUAAAACAUAGAGUGCGCCCUGGCUAGCUAAAUGUGGACCGCGCUCAUUUUGUCAUUUACAAAGGCGAGGAGGAUAUGAUUAUACCAGUUGUGACAACUACUGACUGUUUAGUCUUUUGACGAGAAUGCAAACUGGUAUUAUUGUGAAUGCCUUGGCGUUGCCUUGAUUUGAAGAUAAGGACAAUGGUGAGGGAACAAAUAUGAGGCCAGUCAAAAAACAUGCUGCGCGGUGUUUAAAGGGCCAACCAGUGACAUUAAACCGGACCCCUAUGGUUGUAAUGGACAAGAGGAGGAGCUUUUCUUCAUCCUCCAUGAUGCACCGUGGAAGUUGGUGAAGUUGUGCCAAAGUUACCCACUUCAGCUGAACUUUUUGUUUUAGAAAAAUCAUACACAAAGGAGCAUCUCAAUGCCCUUGAAUCCAAUUUUAUUAAUUUCAUUGUUCAGAAAUUAUAUUAUUCUUUUUUUGGUUACAUUUAUAGUUUUCGUCUUUUAUUUGUGUUUUUCAAAUACUCUUUUCAUCUUUAGUACUUGUGUUUUACGGUGUAUGUGGGUGCACCACUCCAUGUCUUCUAUUUUGGUUUUAUUUUAAUUUUCCAGGCUCUCUUUGCCAUACAGCACUUUUGUCAACAUAUAUUGUUUUUAAAUGUACUCUACAAAUAAAUGUGACCAGACUAGUAUAACUGCGAGAAGGGAAUAUUUUUGCAGUAAGUGUUUUCUUAGUUCGGAUGAUCUUUGUACGAAGAUUUUCAGAAUUUAACAAAAAGUGCAAUACUACAUGUUUAUUAAAAACAGAAUUAUCUUUGCAUAUGUUUGACAUGCAAUGUUCAAAAAGAAUCCACCUGAGGAAAUGUAUUUAAAAUCCCUCCCCCAUCACUUCACAUUUUAUGAGCAAAAUGCAUUGCUAAUAGCCUGCGCUAAGCUAGUGAAUAGUGUGUAGCAUCACUGAAUGGGCAAGCCAUUACUGAG